GACGAACGCUGGCGGCAUGCCUAACACAUGCAAGUCGAACGAGACCUUCGGGUCUAGUCGCGCACGGGUGCGUAACGCGUGGGAAUCUGCCCUUGGGUGCGGAAUAACAGUUAGAAAUGACUGCCAAUAACGCAUAAUGACUCCGGUCCAAAGAUUUAUCGCCCAAGGAUGAGCCCGCGUCGGAGUAGCUAGUGGGUGAGGUAAAAGCUCACCAAGGCGACGAUCCGUAGCUGGUCUGAGAGGAUGAUCAGACACACUGGGGCUGAGAGCACGGCCCAGCCUCCUACGGGAGGCAGCAGUGGGGAAUAUUGGACAAUGGGCGAAAGCCUGAUCCAGCAAUGCCGCGUGAGUGAUGAAGGCCUUAGGGUUGUAAAGCUCUUUUACCCGGGAUGAUAAUGACAGUACCGGGAGAAUAAGCCCCGGCUAACUCCGUGCCAGCCGCCGCGGUAAAAC
rnacentral:rRNA from 1 species